rnacentral:rRNA from 1 species
UACGAAGGGGGCAAGCGUUGUUCGGAAUUACUGGGCGUAAAGGGCGCGUAGGCGGCCGAUCAAGUCAGGCGUGAAAUUCCCGGGCUCAACCUGGGGGCUGCGCUUGAUACUGAUUGGCUUGAAUGCGGGAGAGGAUAGUGGAAUUCCCAGUGUAGAGGUGAAAUUCGUAGAUAUUGGGAAGAACACCGGGGCGAAGGCGGCUAUCUGGCCCGUAAUUGACGCUGAGGCGCGAAAGCGUGGGGAGCAAACAGG